rnacentral:tRNA from 1 species
UUCUGUAUAGCUCAGUUGGUUAAAGCGCUACAUUGAUUAUGUAGAGACCGGCGGUUCGAUUCCGCCUACAGGAACAA